GUGCCAGCAGCCGCGGUAAUACGUAGGUGGCAAGCGUUGUCCGGAUUUAUUGGGCGUAAAGCGAGCGCAGGCGGUCAAUUAAGUUCUGAUGUGAAAGCCCCCGGCUUCAACCGGGGAGGGGUCAUUGGAAACUGGUUGACUUUAGUGCAGAAGAGGAGAGUGGAAUUCCAUGUGUAGCGGUGAAAUGCGUAGAUAUAUGGAGGAACACCAGUGGCGAAGGCGACUCCUCUGGUCUGUAACUGACGCUGAGGCUCGAAAGCGUGGGUAGCAAACAGGAUUAGAUACCCUGGUAGUCC
rnacentral:rRNA from 1 species